AAACUCUGGUGGAAGCUCGUAGCGAUUCUGACGUGCAAAUCGAUCGUCAAACUUGGGUAUAGGGGCGAAAGACUAAUCGAACCAUCUAGUAGCUGGUUCCCUCCGAAAUUUCCCUCAGGAUAGCAGCAACUUAUUUACGAUAGUUUUAUGAGGUAAAGCGAAUGAUUAGAGGAUUCGGGGA